ensembl:snRNA U6 U6 spliceosomal RNA
GUGCUCGCUUUAGCAGCACAUAUACUAAAAUUGGAACGACAGAGAAGGUUAGCACGGCCCCUGCACAAGGAUAAAUGCAAAUUUGUGAAGCGUUCUAUAAAAAA